rnacentral:rRNA from 1 species
AUAUUGGCCAGAGACCGAUAGCGCACAAGUAGAGGGAUCGAAAGAUGAAAAGCACUUUGGAAAGAGAGUUAAAAAGCACGUGAAAUUGUUAAAAGGGAAGGGAUUGCAACCAGACUUGCUCGCGGUGUUCCGCCGGUCUUCUGACCGGUCUACUCGCCGCGUUGCAGGCCAGCAUCGUCUGGUGCCGCUGGAUAAGACUUGAGGAAUGUAGCUCCCUCGGGAGUGUUAUAGCCUCUUGUGAUGCAGCGAGCGCCGGGCGAGGUCCGCGCUUCGGCUAGGAUGCUGGCGUAAUGGUCGUAAUCCGCCCGUCUUGAAACACGGACC